GACGAAGGUGGCGAGCGUUGUUCGGAAUCACUGGGCAUAAAGAGCACGUAGGCGGCUAAGUCAGUCGGAUGUGAAAUACCUCGGCUCAACCGAGGAACUGCGUCCGAUACUGCUUGGCUUGAGGUCCGGAGAGGAGAGUGGAAUUCCCGGUGGAGCGGUGAAAUGCGUAGAGAUCGGGAAGAACGCCGGCGGCGAAAGCGACUCUCUGGUCGGAAUCUGACGCUGAGGUGCGAAAGCGUGGGGAGCAAACAGG
rnacentral:rRNA from 1 species